UUGUUAUGAUGAGAUUCCACUUAAGGUCCGUGUUUCUGAAACAAAUGAUUUUGUGGAAGUUCUGAUUUA
rnacentral:snoRNA from 10 species